UACAGAGGUCUCAAGCGUUGUUCGGAUUCAUUGGGCGUAAAGGGCGCGUAGGCGGCUUUUCAAGCGUGCGGUGAAAGCUCGGGGCUUAACUCCGAGUCUGCCGUGCGAACUGGGAGGCUUGAGUCUGGUAGAGGUCGAUGGAAUUCCGGGUGUAGCGGUGGAAUGCGCAGAUAUCAGGAGGAACACCGAUGGCGAAGGCAGAUCUCUGGGCCGUAACUGACGCUGAGGAGCGAAAGCCAGGGGAGCAAACGGG
rnacentral:rRNA from 1 species